rnacentral:rRNA from 1 species
AUUGAACGCUGGCGGCAGGCCUAACACAUGCAAGUCGAGCGGAUGAAGGGAGCUUGCUCCUGGAUUCAGCGGCGGACGGGUGAGUAAUGCCUAGGAAUCUGCCUGGUAGUUGGGGAUAACGUCCGGAAACGGGCGCUAAUACCGCAUACGUCCUGAUGGAGAAAGUGGGGGAUCUUCGGACCUCACGCUAUCAGAUGAGCCUAGGUCGGAUUAGCUAGUUGGUUGGGUAAAGGCCUACCAAGGCGACGAUCCGUAACUGGUCUGAGAGGAUGAUCAGUCACACUGGAACUGAGACACGGUCCAGACUCCUACGGGAGGCAGCAGUGGGGAAUCUUGGACAAUGGGCGAAAGCCUGAUCCAGCCAUGCCGCGUGUGUGAAGAAGGUCUUCGGAUUGUAAAGCACUUUAAGUUGGGAGGAAGGGAAGUAAGUUAAUACCUUCCUGUUUUGACGUUACCAACAGAAUAAGCAACGGCUAACUACGUG